rnacentral:misc_RNA from 1 species
GCAACUGGAAAUGCAACGGGACCAGCGAGGAGAUUAAGAAGAUCAUUGCUACUCUGAAUUCGGCUGAGGUCCCGUCGGGUGAUGUUGUUGAGGUUGUGGUAAGCCCACCGUAUGUGUUUCUUCCUCUGGUCCAAGAUUCCCUGCGUUCUGAUUUUCAUGUUGCUGCACAAAAUUGCUGGAUGAAGAAAGGAGGUGCCUUCACUGGUGAAAUCAGUGCUGAAAUGCUUGUAAACCUUGGUAUUCCCUGGGUCAUUCUUGGUCACUCUGAACGAAGGGCUUUGCUAGGCGAAUCAAAUGAGUUUGUUGGAGAGAAAGUUGCAUAUGCACUCUCUCGUGGUCUGAAGGUGAUUGCUUGUGUUGGUGAGACCCUUGAACAACGAGAAUCAGGAUCAACUAUGGAUGUAGUUGCUGCACAAACAAAAGCAAUA